rnacentral:rRNA from 1 species
CGUAGGGUGCGAGCGUUGUCCGGAAUUACUGGGCGUAAAGAGCUCGUAGGUGGUUUGUCGCGUUGUUCGUGAAAACCGGGGGCUUAACCCUCGGCGUGCGGGCGAUACGGGCAGACUGGAGUACUGCAGGGGAGACUGGAAUUCCUGGUGUAGCGGUGGAAUGCGCAGAUAUCAGGAGGAACACCGGUGGCGAAGGCGGGUCUCUGGGCAGUAACUGACGCUGAGGAGCGAAAGCGUGGGGAGCGAACAGGAUUAGAUACCCUGGUAGUCCACGCCGUAAACGGUGGGUACUAGGUGUGGGUUUCCUUCCUUGGGAUCCGUGCCGUAGCUAACGCAUUAAGUACCCCGCCUGGGGAGUACGGCCGCAAGGCUA